AUGGCAUAUCACAUAGAAGGAGUGCCAGAGGUUGUGAAGGGUGUAGACCUAAAGAGAUACAUGGGUCGUUGGUAUGAGAUUGUUUCAUUCCCUUCAUUUUUUCAGCCUGCAAAUGGCGUGAACACUAGAGCCACCUACACUCUAAACAGUGAUGGAACUGUUCAUGUUCUCAACGAGACAUGGAAUGAUGGGAAAAGAAACUCCAUAGAAGAAACUGCUUAUUGUUAG